AGUGAACGCUGGCGGUAGGCCUAACACAUGCAAGUCGAACGGACGCACAGUAAGAGUUUGCCCUUACGGGUGGCGAGUGGCGGAUGGGUGAGGCAUACAUAGGCAUCUACUUUUUCGUGGGGGAUAACGGAGGGAAACUUACGCUAAUACCGCAUAUGAUCAACGGGUGAAAGCAGGGGAUAAUCGGACCUUGCGCGAUUGAAUUAGCCGAUGUCGGAUUAGCUAGUUGGCAGGGUAAAGGCCCACCAAGGCGACGAUCCGUAGCUGGUCUGAGAGGAUGAUCAGCCACACUGGAACUGAGACACGGUCCAGACUCCUACGGGAGGCAGCAGUGGGGAAUAUUGGGCAAUGGGCGCAAGCCUGAUCCAGCCAUGCCGCGUGGGUGAAGAAGGCCUUCGGGUUGUAAAGCCCUUUUGUUAGGAAAGAAAAGCAGCAGGUGAAUACCCCGCUGUUCUGACGGUACCCAAAGAGUAAGCACCGGCUAACUUCGUG
rnacentral:rRNA from 1 species